rnacentral:rRNA from 1 species
CCCUUAGAUGUUCUGGGCCGCACGCGCGCUACACUGAUUCAUGCAACAAGUUUUGUCCUUGGCUGAUAGGCCUGGGUAAUCUUUGAACGUGAAUCGUGAUGGGGAUAGAUGAUUGCAAUUAUUCAUCUUCAACGAGGAAUUCCUAGUAAACGAAAGUCAUCAGCUUGCAUUGAUUACGUCCCUGCCCUUUGUACACACCGCCCGUCGCACCUACCGAUUGAAUGGUCCGGUGAAAUCUUCGGAUCUGAGAGAUGUCUGAUUAAUUUCGGACGCCUUUUGGAAAAGUUGUUUAAACCUUACCAUUUAGAGGAAGGUGAAGUCGUAACA